AUGCUGACUGAAGGAAAGAGUUCAGUUUAGGGUUUAAAACCCUAAUGCUGACUAAAGGGAAAAUUCAGUUUAGGGUUUAAAACCCUAAUACUGACUGGCUGGAAAGAGUUCAGUUUAGGGUUUUAAACCCUAAUGCUGACUGAAUGGAAAAAGUUCAGAUUAGGGUUUAAAAACCUAAUACUGACUGAAGGAAAGAGUUUAGUUUAGGGUUUAAAAUCUUAAUGCUGACUAAAGGGAAAGUUCAAUUUAUGGUUUAAAACCCUAAUGCUGACUGGCUAUAAAGAGUUCAGUUUAGGGUUUAAAACCCUAAUGCUGACUGAAUGGAAAAGUUCAGUUUAGGGUUUAAACCCUAAUGCUGACUGAAUGAAAAAUUUCAGUUUAGGGUUUAAAAACCUAAUGCUGUACUGAAGGGAAAGUUCAGUUUAGGGUUUAAAACCCUAAUACUGACUGGCAGAAAAGAGUUCAGUUUAGGGUUUAAAACCCUAAUGCUGACUGAUUGGAAAAAGUUCAGUUUAGGGUUUAAAACCUUAAUA
rnacentral:lncRNA from 1 species